UUUUUUAUUUUUAGCAAAUUGCAUACAACCUUCAAAAUGUGAUUAAACAACUCAAGUUUAAACCCGUAAAGGUUGGCCCGGAGGAGAAUCUUGCAUCUCGCCCAAGCAAGUGUGACCCAAAUUUAAGAAAAAGUAGAAAUUUAUACACAAGAUGAUCAUCAACAACGUUAAAUCCUGAAAUUACAUAGCGUCAUAACAACCAUAAGCAGAUCCACAACCAGUACCUUUAUUAACCUAAAAAUAACAUAAAAAGAAAAACAGAAAGAUAGUCCAAUAGUACGACUACAUGCUAUGAAUACAUAAAAACUACAUAGCAACAAUAUCACAACACAGUGUUAGCAGAUCUGCUACCUCCCCUCGCAUCCUUUCAGUGGUGAUGGCCAUGUGGAUGUGGCUUAUGUGGUGGUGGAGGGUGGUGAACCACAUGAGGAGGAGGGUGGUGGACCACUGGUGGGUGGUGAACGAUGUGAACCGCUGGUGGAGGUGGGUGGUGGACGACUGGUGGAGGUGGGUGGUGGACGACGGGUGGUGGGUGGUGAACGACGUGAACCACUGGCGGAGGAGGGUGGUGGACUACAUGAGGCGGUGGAUGAUGGUGGUGGGGAGGGGAUCUAGGCAUCUUUUUUCUGUCUUUUUAGAAUCAAAACUCAAAGCGAUUCGUAUUUGUGAAUUGUGAUGGUGUUAGUUGGGUUUGAGAAAGAUGGUGAGUUUAUAAUGAAUAAAAGUCAAACAAAAAGUCUAAGAAAACGUGUAGACGUGAAUG
rnacentral:lncRNA from 1 species